rnacentral:rRNA from 1 species
GUAGUCUCGCACAGAUGCAUAUCAAUAAGCGGAGGAAAAGAAACUAACAAGGAUUCCCUCAGUAACGGCGAGUGAAGCGGGAAGAGCUCAAAUUUGAAAUCUUGCAAGGUUUACCUUUCACGAAUUGUAGUUUAAAGAAGUGUUUUCUGCUUACGAUUUGGUAAUAAGUUCUUUGGAAUAGGACAUCAUAGAGGGUGAGAAUCCCGUACUAUGACCAUUGGAUUUGUCAGCUUUGUGAUACACUUUCAAAGAGUCGGAUUGUUUGGGAAUGCAGUCCAAAAUGGGUAGGUAAAUUUCUUCUAAGGCUAAAUAUUGGCGAGAGACCGAUAGCGAACAAGUACCGUGAGGGAAAGAUGAAAAGAACUUUGAAAAGAGAGUUAAAUAGUACGUGAAAUUGUCAAAAGGGAAGCGUUUAACACCAGUGUUGUUUUCUGAAAAUCAACCUCUGUUAGCUUUAUGCAUGUUUGUUUAGACCUAAUCAGCUAUCUUGCAUGUUCUAUUGUUUGCAGUGGUGCACUUUUCAGUUUACAGGUCAACAUCAGUUUUUUUUACCGUAAAAAAGUUAAAGAAAGGUAGCUCAUGGCUCCGGUCGUGAGUGUUAUAGUCUUUUUCCUAUGCGGUAGGAGAGACUGAGGUCUGCAGUGUAGGCUAUUUGGCUAGAUACUCAGGUGCUAUGUGAUACCAUUUCAUAAACAACUUGUUGAUUAUGUUUUGUCUAUUGCAUACUCGCUUGUACUAUCAUACCUACGCUUAGGAUGUUGAGUCGUAGAGCACGCAG